rnacentral:rRNA from 1 species
GGUGAACCUGCGGAAGGAUCAUUAGUGAAUCUUCAAAAGUCGGCUCUGUGGAUUGUGCUGGUGGGCAACCACAUGUGCACGUCUACGGGUCGCAAAUCCACACACCUGUGCAUCUAUGACUCUGAGUGCCGCUUUGCAUGGCCCUUGAUUGGACCUGGCGCUCGAGUACUUUUCACACACUCUUGAAUGUAACGGAAUGUCAAUGUUGUGCACAAUGUACAAACAAAAACAACUUUCAACAACGGAUCUCUUGGCUCUCGCAUCGAUGAAGAACGCAGCGAAAUGCGAUAAGUAAUGUGAAUUGCAGAAUUCAGUGAAUCAUCGAAUCUUUGAACGCACCUUGCACCCUUUGGUAUUCCGAAGGGUACACCCGUUUGAGUGUCAUUGUAAUCUCACUACCAUCGACUUUGGUCUUUUCGGUAUGUGGACUUGGAUGCUGCCGUUGUUGUCGACGGCUCGUCUGAAAUGCCUGAGUGUACCCCGCUUUGUGGCGUAUUCGGUGUGAUACAUCUUCACCGGAGUUGAUCCUUGUGGUCGCGUCUGUAAUGGUGUGGCUCUAUGCUUCCAACCGUCUCUUUGGUUAGACAAUCUCUGACAAUUUGACCUCAAAUCGGGUGGGACUACCCGCUGAACUUAAGCAUAUCAAUAAGCGGAGGAAAAGAAACUAACAAGGAUUCCCCUAGUAACGGCGAGUGAAGAGGGAAAAGCUCAAAUUUUGAAUCUGGUGUCUUUGACUCCCGAGUUGUAAUCUAGAGAAGUGUUUUCCGUGUCGGACCGUGCACAAGUUCCCUGGAACGGGGCGUCAUAGAGGGUGAGAAUCCCGUAUAUGGCAUGGACUACCGAUGCUUUUGUGAUACACUCUCAACGAGUCGAGUUGUUUGGGAAUGCAGCUCAAAAUGGGUGGUAAAUUCCAUCUAAAGCUAAAUAUUGGCGAGAGACCGAUAGCGAACAAGUACCGUGAGGGAAAGAUGAAAAGCACUUUGGAAAGAGAGUGAAACAGUACGUGAAAUUGUUGAAAGGGAAGCGUUUGAAGUCAGUCGUAUCUGAUGGGAUUCAGCCGGGCUUUUGCCAGGUGUACUUCCUGUCCGAUGGGUCAGCAUCAAUUUCGAUCGGGGGAAAAAGACGUGAGGAAUGUGGCUGUCUUCGGGCAGUGUUAUAGCCUUGCGUUGUAUGCCUCGGUUGGGAUUGAGGAACGCAGCGCGCCUCCGGGCCAGGGGUUCGCCUCUUGACACGCGCUUAGGAUGCUGGCAUAAUGGCUUUAAGCGACCCGUCUUG